rnacentral:rRNA from 1 species
CCUACGGGCGGCAGCAGUGAGGAAUAUUGGUCAAUGGACGAGAGUCUGAACCAGCCAAGUAGCGUGAAGGCUGACUGCCCUAUGGGUUGUAAACUUCUUUUAUAUGGGAAUAAAAUGUUCCACGUGUGGGAUUUUGUAUGUACCAUAUGAAUAAGGAUCGGCUAACUCCGUGCCAGCAGCCGCGGUAAUACGGAGGAUCCGAGCGUUAUCCGGAUUUAUUGGGUUUAAAGGGAGCGUAGGUGGAUUGUUAAGUCAGUUGUGAAAGUUUGCGGCUCAAACGUAAAAUUGCAGUUGAAACUGGCAGUCUUGAGUACAGUAGAGGUGGGCGGAAUUCGUGGUGUAGCGGUGAAAUGCUUAGAUAUCACGAAGAACUCCGAUUGCGAAGGCAGUUCACUGGACUGCAACUGACACUGAGGCUCGAAAGUGUGGGUAUCAAACAGGAUUAGAUACCCUAGUAGUC